UUAGUUAAAGCCAAAGAGAGGCGUAUCACUGUUAAUGAUAUAACUGAGUUACUAACUCUAACUAAG
rnacentral:tRNA from 1 species